AUUGAACGCUGGCGGCAGGCUUAACACAUGCAAGUCGAGCGGAGCGGCGGACGGGUGAGUAAUGCUUAGGAAUCUGCCUAUUGUGGGGGACCACAUCCCGGAAGGGAUGCUUAUACCCCCUACUCAUAACUGAGCCUAAGUCGGAUUAGCUAGUUGGUGGGGUAAAGGCCUACCAAGGCGACGAUCUGUAGCGGGUCUGAGAGGAUGAUCCGCCACACUGGGACUGAGACACGGCCCAGACUCCUACGGGAGGCAGCAGUGGGGAAUAUUGGACAAUGGGGGGAAACCUGAUCCAGCCAUGCCGCGUGUGUGAAGAAGGCCUUAUGGUUGUAAAGCACUUUAAGCGAGGAGGCGUUACUCGCAGAAUAAGCACCGGCUAACUCUGUGCCAGCAGCCGCGGUAAUUC
rnacentral:rRNA from 1 species